rnacentral:tRNA from 2 species
GGAGGAGUGGCAGAGCUGGCCGAAUGCGGCGGUCUUGAAAACCGUUGACCUGAAAGGGUCCGUAGGUUCGAAUCCUAUCUCCUCCG